rnacentral:lncRNA from 1 species
UUCUUGAAGUAGUCUGUGUUUUCUCCAUCACAGACAAAAGUAUAUGUGAGAUAAAUACCUGUGUAUCACAGGCUUACUUAGGCAGAGGUAGUCUUCAUUUUUUUUCAGAGCCCUGCAGGUCCUCUGUGACAGUAUGCUGAGUUCCUCUAUAGUUAAACAAUCUGUAUUUAGAAAGAGAGAGAUCAGGAGAGUGAGGGAUAUGGACAGUUCUUUGAUCAUUUAGUUACUUGCUUAUUUCUCACCUGAGAGAUGCAUGGAAAUAUUUAAAGGCAGGAAAAAGAGAGGGACUGAAAAUAGGCCUGCCCUUAACAUUUGCUUGGUCUAGGGCAAGAUUAUAAAUGGGGGCCUUGAUACUUGAAUGCCUCAAUAUUUAAAUGUACAAAUCAAGCUAAUAAACUAUAAAUUAAAAUGUGGUCUACUCUUCUAGCUUGGCAAACAUACCUUCAUAGGUCAGAAAGCUAGAGUUUGAUUAGAAAUGUUCAAAUUCAUUGGAGUUCUAUUCUGGAUAUUAUAGUGUAGUCAGAGCUAUUUUUGCCCCAGUCCCCCUCUCUUUCAUUCCUUGCUUCUCAGGGAAUGACAAGGGGACUUGUGUUCACACACAUGGAAAUCCAACCCACAUGUUCAAGCUUCAUCCAUCUUCUCCUCCAGCCUCACAAACAGCCUCCUGCUGACCACCUCUUAUGUCUUCGUGCAGGCACCUCAAACCCAGAACAAGGGUUUUAGAAUCCCUGAAGGGGAUAUAGAACUAUUUGAGCAGGAGAUUAUGAGGUUCUCAGUACCUAGAGCACAUUCUCAAAGCGGGACCCUGGGCCCAUGUGACACUCUUCCCUGUCUCCAGACUCCUUGCUCAGUGCAGAAGGGCACAACAAGAAGGGAGCCCUCUUGCCCAAGCCAGAGUGUAUAUGGCCUGUAGCCUGUGCUGGAGAGAAGGCCCUGAUAAGGAGCUUGAGUGAGGGUCAAGGAAUUCCAUCUUUCCUUUCAGCUGAGCUGGGAGAGGGAAAUGCAGACCCAGAAAGAGAUGCAUUUUUAAUUGAGAGAGCAGGGAGUUGAUGCGGUCUCUAACUUGUAGUCCUGACUUUUGCAGGGACAGGGAAGGGGAGUAUGCAUCAUCCCUUGCUAGGUGGAGGGAAGGUGGCAGAAACUUGGGAGGAGUCAGAGGCAAGAUUUGGAAAAAACACCCUCUAAUACUAUCAUGAGAGUAGGCUGAGAAGAGACCUACGAAAACUUCCUGACAGUGCCAAGUGUAUAUUCACAUGGGCAUGUUGGGCACAGCUCAAAUCCAGAGUGACCUUUACAGCAACUGCAAUGCAAAUGGCAACUUCUGGAGUCAAGCACUGUGCCUCUUGCACAGGCAUACCUGGCACACCCAGGCUCAUGCAAUCUUUUCUCUGAAUUUUGAUCUCAACAGGUUAUAUUGUUUUGCAAACUCUGAAUGAGGGAUAAUAAUUUUAUGGGCCCCUGUGCUUAAUGGAAAUACUUCCUAAAUCCAUGUGUGUAAAGUAAACACCAAUUUAGCACUACAUAUAUAGUCCAAAAAUGCUGAUAAAUGACGUCCCAAAUAGUGUGAUACUUACUUUUCAUUUUGAGGGACAGGAUCAUGCUCACAAGGUGGCAUUUUCCCCACCAUUGGAACCCACCCCUGUGAAUCCCACACAUAUGAUGUUGAGUUUUGUCUGUGUUUUCUUUCCAUAUAGGAAAAGCAUUAUUUGAGUUGCAAAUAUAUUCAUUAUUAUUGUAUUCCAAGGAUUUUCCAUAAUUAUUUUUAUAUAAUAUUUUACUUUGUCUCUUA